rnacentral:misc_RNA from 1 species
AUGCCCCUUUCAUUUUCUACAGUUAGGCUACCAGUCAGUCUCCGCUUACACCACGUUAGACAUCGUUUCCAAAUACUAGCUACAGUCUAUAGCAAAAGGAUGAAAUUACUGCUAUUAGUGGCGCAAACGGCGCUGUUUUUCUCGUCGUCGCUAUCAGAAGCUCCUAAUAAUUCGAAUUCCCCGUUUUUCAGCUGGAUUAAAGAGCUUCAGAAGGAACUUUUCAAUGUUCGUCAAUACAAUAAACAUGCCAGGCCAAUAUCAAAUGACAGUGAACAAGUUAUCAAAGUGGACAUGCAGUUUAGUUUCGUUCGGGCGGUCUUGAAUGAGAAGGAUGGCACAUUGGAGACCUCCGGAUGGCUUGGAAUGCGAUGGGUGGACAGUAUGAUGAAGUGGGAUCCUAUGGCCUAUGGAGAUUUGCGCAACUUAAAAUUAAUGUCGGAUCUGUUAUGGAAACCGGAUAUAGUGGUUUUUAAUAGUGUGCGAGGCUAUGAUCCCAUGCCUCCAUCCCAAUCUGUUCUUCUUUAUGACGGUGUGGUCUACUACAUACCUCGUCUAUAUUUAAUAACACCGUGCGACCUAGAUUUAACUAAAUGGCCCAAAGGAUUUCAAAAAUGCGAAAUUCGGUUUGGUGCUUGGACUUUAGAUAGCAGCGAGAUAUUCCUUGGUGUUUUAGAAAACCAAACGAAGGCAGACCUUAAACACUACAAAGCUGGAAAUUUACAAUGGAAAAUUACGGAUACUACUAUUACAACAAACUCAUACUUCAACUGUUGCAGUCCUCAUUAUCAAGACGUUAUUGUCACCAUUCAGUUACACCGUCAAUCUUCAAUGGCAGAAAAAGUUGCCAUAAUUUCAUCUGUCUAUGGAUUCUUGUAUUGCUAACCUAUUGGAUGAAACCCCAGUCUACCGAUCGCAUAACGAUUGCAUACUCAUGUUCAUUUGGAAUGAUAUUCAUUUUUAUUUAUUUCUUAUGGAAAUUACCAACAGGAAAAAAUAUUCCUAUUGUCGUGAUCACUCAUUCCACGCUUUUAUUACUUUGCGGUUUGAACUGUG